rnacentral:rRNA from 1 species
GACGAACGCUGGCGGCGUGCUUAACACAUGCAAGUCGAACGAAGCGGCGCACGGGUGAGUAACGCGUAAUCAACCUGCCCUUCAGCGGGGGACAACAGUUGGAAACGACUGCUAAUACCGCAUACGGAAGAUGGGGAUGUCGUCUGAUUAGCUAGUUGGAGGGGUAACGGCCCACAAGGGCGAUGAUCAGUAGCAGGGCUGAGAGGGGUGAGGGGCAGAGUGGGAAUGAGAGAAGGCCCAGACGCCCACGGGAGGCAGCAGUGGGGAAACUUCCGGAAAGGACGAAAGUCUGACGGAGCAACGGCGGGUGAGUGAUGACGGGCGUCGGGGUUUAAAGCUUUGUUAAUCGGGACGCGGUACCGGAAUAGAAAGCCACGGCUAACUACGUGCCAGCAGCCGCGGUAAUAC